CGCGGCCUAUCAGCUUGUUGGUGAGGUAACGGCUCACCAAGGCAUCGACGGGUAGCUGGUUUGAGAGAACGAUCAGCCACACUGGAACUGAGACACGGUCCAGACUCCUACGGGAGGCAGCAGUGGGGAAUCUUGCACAAUGGGCGAAAGCCUGAUGCAGCGACGCCGCGUGGGGGAUGAAGGCCUUAGGGUCGUAAACCCCUUUCAGUAGGGAAGAAAAUGACGGUACCUACAGAAGAAGCUCCGGCCAACUACGUGCCAGCAGCCGCGGUAAGACGUAGGGGGCGAGCGUUGUCCGGAUUUAUUGGGCGUAAAGGGCUCGUAGGCGGUUACGUAAGUCGGAUGUGAAAACUCGAGGCUCAACUUCGAGACGCCAUCCGAUACUGCGUUGACAUGAGUCCGGUAGAGGAGUGUGGAAUUCCUAGUGUAGCGGUGAAAUGCGCAGAUAUUAGGAGGAACACCUAUUGCGAAGGCAGCACUCUGGGCCGGUACUGACGCUGAGGAGCGAAAGCAUGUGUAGCAAACAGGAUUAGAUACCCUGGUAGUCCAUGCCGUAAACGGUGUGCACUAGAUGUGGGGACUUUCAACGGUUUCCGCGUCGUAGCUAACGCAUUAAGUGCCCCGCCUGGGGAGUACGG
rnacentral:rRNA from 1 species